UGUCUCCUUCCUCCAAUCAAUGAAAUUGAUCUUCUCGUGAAGAAGCGAGAAUAUUAUUAUUAGACGAGAAGACCCCAUGGAGCUUUAAACUUAUUACCAGUUACUUAACCUCUAAACCACAAUAUGUAGUAAAAAUGUUCUUAAUAGUUUUCGGCUGGGGUGGCCCUGGAGUAAAACAAACCCUCCAGAAUGAACGGAAUAAUAAUCCUAAUCUAAGAAUUACAACUCAAAGAAUCAAAAAACUGACAUUAUUGAUCCAAUUAUUUGAUUAACGAAACAAGUUACCCUGGGGAUAACAGCGCAAUCCAUUUUGAGAGCCCCUAUCAACAAAUGGGUUUACGACCUCGAUGUUGGAUCGGGGUAUCCCGGUGGCGCAGCCGCUACUAAUGGUUCGUUUGUUCAACGAUUAAUAACCCCACGUGAUCUGAGUUCAAACCNGA
rnacentral:rRNA from 1 species